ACUUAAAGCUAAGAUGGCUAGUUAAAUAAAAGCUAGGUUAGCUAGUUAAAUUAAAGCAAGGUUAGAUAGUUGAAUUAAAACUAGGCUAGCUAGUUAAAUUAAAGCUAGGCUAGAUAGUUAAAUUAAAGCUAGGCUGGCUAGUUAAAUUAAAGUUAGGCUAGCUAGUUAAAUUAAAGCUAGGCUAGCUAGUUAACUUAAAGCUAAGAUAGCUAGUUAAAUUAAAGCAAGGUUAGAUAGUUAAAUUAAAACUAGGCUAGCUAGUUAAAUUAAAGCUAGGCUAGAUAGUUAAAUUAAAACUAGGCUAGCAAGCUAGGCUAGCACGUUAAAUUAAAGCUAGGUUGUCUAGUUAAAUUAAAGCUAGGCUAGUUAGUUAAAUUAAAGCUAGGCUAGCUCGUUAAAUUAAAGAUAGGUUAGUUAGUUAAAUUAAAGCUAGGCUAUCUAGUUAAAUUACAGCUAGGUUAGCUAGUUAAAUUGAAGCUAGGAUAGUUAGUUAAAUUAAAGCUAGGCUAGUUAGUUAAAUUAAAGCUAGGCUAGCUAGUUAAAUUAAAGCUAGGUUAGUUAGUUAAAUUAAAGCUAGGCUAGUUAGUUAAAUUAAAGCUAGGCUAGCUAGUUAAAUUAAAGCUAGGUUAGUUAGUUAAAUUAAAGCUAGGCUAUCUAGUUAAAUUACAGCUAGGUUAGCUAGUUAAAUUGAAGCUAGGAUAGUUAGUUAAAUUAAAGCUAGGCUAGUUAGUUAAAUUAAAGCUAGGCUAGCUAGUUAAAUUAAAGCUAGGUUAGUUAGUUAAAUUAAAGCUAGGCUAGUUAGUUAAAUUAAAGCUAGGCUAGCUAGUUAAAUUAAAGCUAGGUUAGUUAGUUAAAUUAAAGCUAGGCUAGCUAGUUAGACACACUAGCUAGGCUAGCUAGCACUAGGCUAGCUUGUUAGACACACUAGCUGAAGACACAUCUUUUCAAAGAGUUCCUAAACUAAUAAUAAAAAAAAUAAAUAAAAAAAGGUUCCUAGGGUUCUUAACAUGAUUAAGCUCUAUGUAUCUCUUGAUCCUAGUCUACAAACUAGCUUUGGAUAUCUUAAGUAACUUUGAAGCACUGUUGUAAGUCGCUCUGGAUAAGGGCGUCUGCUAAAUACCAUAAAUGUAAAUGUAGUUAAAUUAAAGCUAGGUUAGUUAGUUAAAUUAAAGUUAGGCUGGCUAGUUAAAUUAAAGCUAGGCUGGCUAGUUAAAUUAAAGUUAGGCUAGCUAGUUAAAUUAAAGCUAGGCUAGCUAGUUAAAUUAAAGCUAGUCUGGCUAGUUAAAUUAAAGCUAGGCUAGCUAGUUAAAUUAAAGCUAGGUUAGCAAGUUUAAUUAACGCUAGGUUAGCUAGUUAAAUUAAAGCUAGGCUAGCUAGUUAAAUUAAAGCUAGGCUAGCUAGUUAAAUUAAAGCUAGGUUAGCAAGUUUAAUUAACGCUAGGUUAGCUAGUUAAAUUAAAGCUAGGCUGAUUUUGGGCCUAGGUCUGUGUAAUGUAUGUAGCAUUUGGGCAAAAAAACUUAAUGUAGUAACGUAUCAAUCUUUGUUACAUUCAAUUUUUUAUAUGCAAACAUGAAUAUGACCGUUUUAAUUAAGUAAUUGUAGAUCAUGUAAAUGUAAAUGUAUCUUGUUUCUUGGGUCUGUAACUGUGGACCUUUAUUGGCACAUUCAGGAUGUAUUUUUAAAUCAUGGUACGCUUUUGUCUCUUUUGUGAAAUGCUUUACUAAGAAAGACACAACAAACAACAAAUUAUUUCCAAAUAUUCUAAAUUAUUCCUAAAUAUAUAGAAUUAAGAUAUAUCAAAUUAUUCCCAAGAAUACAAGCCGUUUAUUCUGAACUAUAAGAACUAAUACAGCCAUUAUUAAUCAUUUCCACACAACAGACCACUAAUUAAACACUUACACAGAAUAAAGCCUAAUAAGUAGUGAAUAAAUCAUUUAUAAAUGUCUAAUUAUUGCUUUAUUAAGCAAAUAAUAAGACAUUAAUAAGCGCCUAAUUUGUGUUCCUUAAAAUAAAGUGUUACCAAGUAUUUAGAUAAAAGUAUACAUAUUCACAAAGAAUUGAAAUAAGGGCCACAUAAAAAAAUGGUCACAUUUGAACUCCUUAUUAGAUAAAUUAUGCCUAAGCCCACUGUCCCACCUCCGAGUAUUCCAGCCAAAUCAUCUGACAGUUUUAUUGUAAUAGGCUGGCCUUUUAACAGCCAUCCAGAACUCCUAUAAUUGGCCAUAAUUAAGCAUAUAAAGCGCCUCAACUCUGGAAUAAUCUCCCCGAAUAUGUUCGGGACUCAGACACAGUCUCAAUCUUUAAGUCUAGACUGAAAACUUACUUGUUUAGUUUAGCUUUUGGUAAUUAAUGUUUUUCCCUUUAGAUAAGGCUGCAGAUUCAGGGGUUCAUGGACAGAGGGAAUUGUGGGUAAACUGAGAUGCUGGUGCUGUUGUUCUCCCACUGCACACGGUCACUCAAGUUUGUGGACGGUGGAGUGGGUGGAUGCUGGUGUUUCAGGGUGCCUCCAUGUCUAUGUUACCUUCUGGCUCUCUGUCUUUAGUUAGGCUGUUUUAUUCAGUUCUGCCGGAGUCAUUUGCCACACUCUGAUAAUGUUUUAAUAUUCUCAGUUUUGCAUAAAUCCAGUCAAAACUAAUUCCAUCUCUCUGCUUUCCUCCGAGUUACCGACUGCCCACCUGUCUGACCCGAUACCGAUGUUGGACCCUCAGGCUCUCGCGUCUCCUGUCCGGCCAGACUGAUGGAAGUUUCUGAAGUCAGCUCUUCUCCACCACCACCACAGAUCAGCUGCUCAUCGUCCAUCUUAUUCUCCACUACUGAUUACAUACAAGCUAUUAGUGGUGCUAUUACACUCCUGAGUACAUAAAACCUAUAUGGAUGUAUAAAAGACUUUUUAAAUUUCUAUUUAAAAGCCGUUUGACCAGUGGUAGGAUGGUCCCCCCUCAAAUGUGAGUCUUGGUCCUCCCAAGGUUUCUUCCUCCUCCUGCAGCUCUGAGGGAGUUUUUCCUUGCCUCCGCGCUCACUGGGGGUUCUGUAUUCUGUAUUUUCUAUGUGUAAUGUUUUGCCUGAUUCUUUGUCCUGUAAUCAUGUUUCUGUAAAGCUGCUUUGUGCCAACACCUGUUGUAAAAAGCGCUAUACAAAUAAAUUUGAUUUGAUUUGAUAUAAUUGGGUGAGUAUUUCUGAGGCCACUGCAAAUUUCUGUAUCUCAUGAGCUUUGGUUGGGGUGGCUGAAGCAAUAUUUGUAUGCGUUGAAUAAAGCAAUCAAACUGAUGCUAACAAUUUGUUUAGAAAAUCUGUGCUCUAAAUCAUUCAUUUUCUAGAGUUUGAUAACUCUAUUUCAGUUGUUUUAAUGUCUUUUUCACUAUUUCCUGUGUUUUAUCCUCAGAAAGAUCUUUUGUCCUUUUCAUACUACAUAGUAACGUAAAUAAUAAUACGCUUUGUGUGACAAUCUGAAUUUUGUAGGUUUUCUUCCUUUCCGAAUAUACAAACUUGUAUAAGCUUGAUACUACUUAUCCAAAGAGAAGAACGUUGUGCUUAUUUGCCCAAAAUCCUACUGCUACUGUGUGUAACUUCCAUAACAGUUCCGAUCACUGUGUAGAUCAUGAGGAAAUGUCUUAAUA